GUGGGCAGGGACUCCGCAGUCAGCGUCAUGGCUGCCCGUGCUCCUGAGCUCGCGCGUUCCCUGCUUGCUGCCCUUCUGGCGCCCGCGCUGGUGGCACUACUGGUGUCGCCGGCCUCGGGUCGCGGAGGCCGGGACCACGGGGACUGGGACGUGGACAGGCGAUUGCCUCCGCUGCCACCCCGCGAAGACGGGCCGCGCGUGGCCCGCUUCGUGACUCACGUCUCAGACUGGGGCUCGCUGGCCACUAUCUCCACAAUAAAGGAGGUGCGCGGCUGGCCCUUCGCGGACAUCAUCUCAAUCAGUGACGGUCCUCCGGGAGAAGGCACGGGCGAGCCCUACAUGUACCUGAGUCCACUGCAGCAAGCCGUGAGCGACCUGCAGCUCAGGUGGAAACAGCCUGGGAGGGAAAGGCCACACAGGAGCCCAGAAAUGAAGCCUGACUCGGUGGAGGGUCUGUGGCAAAACUGAGAAAGCUUGGUGUCGUGGUAAACAGUGAGCCAAGAGACGCCGACGCUUUAACCAAGCCCUUGCCAUGGAAAAUCCAGAGGCUACGCUGACUAUGUCUUUAGCACAGACUGUCUACUGUAGGAAUCAUGGAUUUGAUCCCCAGAGUCCCCUGUGUGUUCAUAUAAUGAUGUCGGGAACUGUGACCAAGGUGAACAAGACAGAAGAGGACUAUGCAAGGGAUUCGCUGUUUGUUCGACACCCUGAGAUGAAGCACUGGCCUUCCAGCCAUAACUGGUUCUUUGCUAAAUUAAAAAUAAGCCGUAUCUGGGUCUUGGACUACUUUGGUGGACCUAAAGUAGUGACACCUGAAGAAUAUUUUAACGUCACGCUGCAGUGAAGCAGGAUAUGGUGGACUGAGUCACACCAGAGAAGUGUCUUCGGAGGCUCAUGCACACUUGAAGGGUUGGCCCUGCUUGGGACGUCUCCAGCUGUCAGCUUACUCUGCCACCUCUUGUUUUAAUCUUGUUUGCUUGUGUUAACAGAGAGUUGUCCGUCAGAAGAUGUGGUUGCUGGAUUUUUAAAAAAGAAAAAAAAAUGUAUUUUGAAGCCAUUUUCAGAGAAAAAUGCCAUUCAUUAUAACCAAGGAAGUUUUCUUUCAGCCAUUCCCGGUGGCUUUUCCUCAGUGGUGCCCACAGAAGGGCAACAUAGACCAGCUGUAGAUCGCCCAUUGGCUCUGGAGGAAGAGAGGUGCAGGUGCUUUGUGCCCGACGGCCACUGUGCCUGAGGGGUGCUGUCCUCACACAGCUGCCUCAGGAGUCUGUCAGAGGGGCCUAGAGUCGGGAGGCCUGGGCAGGGCGUGGGUCCCGGAUACAGAGUGCUUGAAUGAAUCCUUCAGUCGAGGACAGCAAUGGCCACACACGGAGCUUCCCACUCACGUCCACCCGUACAGCUGAUCCAUCACAAGGCAAAACUGGGUCCUCUAUAAAACUCCAUAAACAUCAUACAUCCUAAAGUCAUAGUUACCCAGGACAAAAUAAGACAAAAAGAUUUUCCUGUAUUCAUUUUCCACCCAAGUAGACUGUAUAUUUAUUUCUCAUCCUUCAAAACACACACACACACAGGAGCUGGGGUGCAGCUUUCUUGGUAGAGCGAUUGUCUAGUAUGAGACCAUAGCUCUCUUCCCCAGCAUUGAAACAAAAACAACCAGCAAUAACAUUUUUAUUUGCAUGAGAAAGGAACCGCAGGAAUUUUACAUAUGUUGGGUUCCUUUUUUUGACCCAACACCAACCAUAACCCCAGCCCUUCUCGGGCACUCUGUAUCUCCAGGCUCCUGGCACUGCAGCCCGGAGUCCUCCAUGGGAGAUAACCACGGUACCACGGCAUAGAAACAAACUACAACAACAACACAACAUGCUUCUGGCCUAGAGGGUUGGCUCAGCACUUAAGAAGAUUGCUCUAGCAGGGACCCAAGUUCAGGACCUGGCGCUGGAGUCAGACAGGCACACUGGCCAUCACUCCAGUUCCAGGAAAUCAUAUACCUCUAGUCUCCAAGGUCACCUGCACUCAAGUGCACGUACCCACGCAGACACACACCGACACAUAAUUGUAAACCAUGCAUCUUUUCUUCAGAAGAGGUACUACUUAGUUUUACUACGUGUAUUCAUGCUCUUGGAUGACGUAAGAGUCCUUUUAAUUGAGUGUGCGUAUCAGACUUCUUAAACAGCAAAAGAGUUGAACAUGAGCCAUCAUGUUGGAGAAAGAGAUAGAAAUCCAGCAAGUGACUUCUCAGUAAAAACCCACUAAGCAGCAAGAAUCCAGUUUUUUUCAAAUCAAUAAUUAAAAGCAUAAUUCUAACAAAG